AGAGUUUGAUCAUGGCUCAGAUUGAACGCUGGCGGCAGGCCUAACACAUGUAAGUCGAACGGUAACAGGAAGCAGCUUGCUGCUUCGCUGACGAGUGGCGGACGGGUGAGUAAUGUCUGGGAAGCUGCCUGAUGGAGGGGGAUAACUACUGGAAACGGUAGCUAAUACCGCAUAAUGUCGCAAGACCAAAGAGGGGGACCUUCGGGCCUCUUGCCAUCGGAUGUGCCCAGAUGGGAUUAGCUUGUUGGUGGGGUAACGGCUCACCAAGGCGACGAUCCCUAGCUGGUCUGAGAGGAUGACCAGCCACACUGGAACUGAGACACGGUCCAGACUCCUACGGGAGGCAGCAGUGGGGAAUAUUGCACAAUGGGCGCAAGCCUGAUGCAGCCAUGCCGCGUGUAUGAAGAAGGCCUUCGGGUUGUAAAGUACUUUCAGCGGGGAGGAAGGGAGUAAAGUUAAUACCUUUGCUCAUUGACGUUACCCGCAGAAGAAGCACCGGCUAACUCCGUGCCAGCAGCCGCGGUAAUACGGAGGGUGCAAGCGUUAAUCGGAAUUACUGGGCGUAAAGCGCACGCAGGCGGUUUGUUAAGUCAGAUGUGAAAUCCCCGGGCUCAACCUGGGAACUGCAUCUGAUACUGGCAAGCUUGAGUCUCGUAGAGGGGGGUAGAAUUCCAGGUGUAGCGGUGAAAUGCGUAGAGAUCUGGAGGAAUACCGGUGGCGAAGGCGGCCCCCUGGACGAAGACUGACGCUCAGGUGCGAAAGCGUGGGGAGCAAACAGGAUUAGAUACCCUGGUAGUCCACGCCGUAAACGAUGUCGACUUGGAGGUUGUGCCCUUGAGGCGUGGCUUCCGGAGCUAACGCGUUAAGUCGACCGCCUGGGGAGUACGGCCGCAAGGUUAAAACUCAAAUGAAUUGACGGGGGCCCGCACAAGCGGUGGAGCAUGUGGUUUAAUUCGAUGCAACGCGAAGAACCUUACCUGGUCUUGACAUCCACGGAAGUUUUCAGAGAUGAGAAUGUGCCUUCGGGAACCGUGAGACAGGUGCUGCAUGGCUGUCGUCAGCUCGUGUUGUGAAAUGUUGGGUUAAGUCCCGCAACGAGCGCAACCCUUAUCCUUUGUUGCCAGCGGUCCGGCCGGGAACUCAAAGGAGACUGCCAGUGAUAAACUGGAGGAAGGUGGGGAUGACGUCAAGUCAUCAUGGCCCUUACGACCAGGGCUACACACGUGCUAUAAUGGCGCAUGCAAAGAGAAGCGACCUCGCGAGAGCAAGCGGACCUCAUAAAGUGCGUCGUAGUCCGGAUUGGAGUCUGCAACUCGACUCCAUGAAGUCGGAAUCGCUAGUAAUCGUGGAUCAGAAUGCCACGGUGAAUACGUUCCCGGGCCUUGUACACACCGCCCGUCACACCAUGGGAGUGGGUUGCAAAAGAAGUAGGUAGCUUAACCUUCGGGAGGGCGCUUACCACUUUGUGAUUCAUGACUGGGGUGAAGUCGAAACAAGGUAACCGUAGGGGAACCUGCGGUUG
rnacentral:rRNA from 1 species